GACUGGAUCCAAGUGUUUCACCACUUGUCCAAUCUACAUCGAUUUGCACUACAACAGCACUUCUACUUGUAUUCUACAUCUAUCCCAGACCUGCAAGCUCAUGAAGCCAGUCUCUUCUCUAGAGUUUUGUUGCCUGAGGAGCAAUCCUUCAAGUCUUUCUAGUCAUAACAGACAACAAGAACCCACACUCACUUUUGGAAGUACUGUGAAGGAAAGGCUCAUCUAGAGUCAAUUAGAAGAUGUUCAGUAGAGAGAGGUUACCAGGACCAGGAAUCUCUCCAUAGCAGGAGGAUGGAGAUGAAGGUAAUAUUUCAGAAAUCAUGCUUGUCUCAGUGGGAUCCUACCUAUGUGAUGUGUAGUAUUUUCUCAUUAUUUCUUAAAUAAAUUAGAUUAA